GACGAACGCUGGCAGCGUGCCUAAUACAUGCAAGUCGAACGCUUCUUUCCUCCCGAGUGCUUGCACUCAAUUGGAAAGAGGAGUGGCGGACGGGUGAGUAACACGUGGGUAACCUACCCAUCAGAGGGGGAUAACACUUGGAAACAGGUGCUAAUACCGCAUAACAGUUUAUGCCGCAUGGCAUAAGAGUGAAAGGCGCUUUCGGGUGUCGCUGAUGGAUGGACCCGCGGUGCAUUAGCUAGUUGGUGAGGUAACGGCUCACCAAGGCCACGAUGCAUAGCCGACCUGAGAGGGUGAUCGGCCACACUGGGACUGAGACACGGCCCAGACUCCUACGGGAGGCAGCAGUAGGGAAUCUUCGGCAAUGGACGAAAGUCUGACCGAGCAACGCCGCGUGAGUGAAGAAGGUUUUCGGAUCGUAAAACUCUGUUGUUAGAGAAGAACAAGGACGUUAGUAACUGAACGUCCCCUGACGGUAUCUAACCAGAAAGCCACGGCUAACUACGUG
rnacentral:rRNA from 1 species